GAAGUUAUAGUCAACUAUUGAUAUCUGACCUGCAAUCAGAAGGUACCUACUAAGGUUAACUUUA
rnacentral:tRNA from 1 species